GUCCACGCAGUAAACGAUGCCGACUGGGCGUGGGGGGAGUUGACCCCCUCCGUGCCGGAGCCAACGCGGGAAGUCGGCCGCCUGGGGAGUACGGCCGCAAGGCUAAAACUCAAAGGAAUUGACGGGGGCCCGCACAAGCGGCGGAGCGUGCGGUUUAAUUCGACGCGACGCGCAGAACCUUACCAGGGCUUGACAUGCAUCUGCACGGUCUGGAAACGAUCCGCCUUCGAGGGUGAUGCACAGGUGCUGCAUGGCUGUCGU
rnacentral:rRNA from 1 species